CACAUCAGACUCGGUCUGGUUAAAGUACUGCUUCUGGCAUUAGAUUAGCUCUAGUGUUGUCCAGCUUGCUUUGAAGACACAGGACUGGGACAGGGCCAAGGGUGAGAUGUUGCUGUCACAGAAGGGGCUAUACUAGAAGGAAGCAACAGUGCAAGUAAGCUGUAGGAUAAAGGAAUCAUUUCAAGGCAUCAUCAUUCAACACAGGUGAAAUAGCAGUAUGCACCUGACUUUUCUGAUGAAGGAAGGGGGAAAAAAAUCUGAUGAAGCAUCCUGGCUCAGAGAAAUAGUUGGAGGAGAAAGGCGAGGAAAGAAAGUAGAUUUUCCUAGAAGGAUCUACUCAGAAAUACAAAGCAGGUUGUCAGAGAAAUCUAUUUGAAGGAGUAACAUCUCCCUGCCAUCAUAUUUCAACUACAAGACUGCAAGGGAAUGAAAUCUGCCUUCACACUCCAACAUGCCAAUCCAAUUCACCUAUAGAAGGAAGCUGAACUAGGGAAUGCACAUUGCACUGAUACGAAGACUUGAAAUCUAACAGGCAGCUAAGGAAAACCAUCAGUCUAAAUGGUCAAAAUAAGUGAGACAUUGUUUGGGCUAAGCUGACUUUACUCCUGGGUUUCAUAAGCCCACAUACUUGACCUUUAGAGCAGAUGAUCAAGUUAACUAAACUGUGCUCUUAUGAACAAGCUAACAAAGUCUUUUCAAAGUUU